AAUCCAUGCAUCGAACAUUUCUGAAUUAACUCUUUAAAUCGUUCUUAGGCUUCAUAUAAUGUUUCAUCCUCUAACUGCCAAAAAAAUAUGAUGCUAUUUCUAAGUUG
rfam:Gossypium hirsutum cultivar TM-1 chromosome 1, whole genome shotgun sequence